UACGUAGGGGGCAAGCGUUGUCCGGAAUCAUUGGGCGUAAAGAGCGUGUAGGCGGCCCGAUAAGUCCGCUGUGAAAGUCCAGGGCUCAACCCUGGAAUGCCGGUGGAUACUGUCGGGCUCGAAUCCGGAAGAGGUGAGUGGAAUUCCUGGUGUAGCGGUGAAAUGCGCAGAUAUCAGGAGGAACACCAAUGGCGAAGGCAGCUCACUGGGACGGUAUUGACGCUGAGGGACGAAAGCUAGGGGAGCGAAUGGG
rnacentral:rRNA from 1 species